rnacentral:lncRNA from 1 species
UGUUUAAGUUAAGCUUUACAGUGCUGGAGUUAACUCUGGGAUCUUAAAAUGUUUUCUUGAUGGUAUAUGCCAAUCUGGAGUUACAGGUACAAAUUGUCUUUCCUGAUCUGUUUUGCUCCUCUACCCCUCUUUUCUCUCAAACACACACACACACACACACACACACACACACACACACACUUGCACACAAUAGCUUUCUACAUAAAAUGUUUUCUGGAACAUAUGGGAGGUGCAGAGGAAGAUGAAAGGAUUUGCCCAAGCUAAUUCCAGACUUGAAGUUGAUAAUUAUACACACCAGAAGGCAAUUUCAUUAACAUAUUAAUUUCAGGACUUAACAUGUAUCUAAGAGAAACACAUUGGAAGUCACAAGACCCAGAUUCUAUUUCUAGCUUUGCCAUUGACCUUCUUGGUGACCUUCCAUAAGUCACUCAACACUCAAGAAACUUAGUCUUCUUAUUUAAAAAAAAAAAAAGAAAAAAAUCCUAGAACCUAGCAGUCAUCUCAGAAAAAUGCUAUGGAGU